rnacentral:rRNA from 1 species
GACGAACGCUGGCGGCGUGCCUAAUACAUGCAAGUCGAGCGCAGGAAACUGACGGAACUCUUCGGAGGGAAGGCAGUGGAAUGAGCGGCGGACGGGUGAGUAACACGUAAGGAACCUGCCUCAAGGAUUGGGAUAACUCCGAGAAAUCGGAGCUAAUACCGGAUAGUUCAACGGACCGCAUGGUCCGCUGAUGAAAGGCGCUCCGGCGUCACCUUGAGAUGGCCUUGCGGUGCAUUAGCUAGUUGGUGGGGUAACGGCCCACCAAGGCGACGGUGGAUGGCCGACCGGAGAGGGUGAUCGGCCACACUGGGACUGAGACACGGCCCAGACUCAUACGGGAGGCAGCAGUAGGGAAUCUUCCACAAUGGACGAAAGUCUGAUGGAGCAACGCCGCGUGAGUGAUGAAGGUUUUCGGAUCGUAAAACUCUGUUGUAAGGGAAGAACACGUACGAGAGGAAAUGCUCGUACCUUGACGGUACCUUACGAGAAAGCCACGGCUAACUACGUGCCAGCCGCCGCAGUAA